AGCUUUGCACAGUGGCAGUAUCGUAGCCAAUGAGGUUUGUCCGAUGCCCGAUUGCUAAUGGAAAACUUUUCCCAAUAAUGAUGAUGAUACUAAAGCUAAAAUAAUAACCAACAUUUGUUACCCAUUAUGUGCCAAGUACUGUGG